CUCCUCAUCCUCCCACACGCGCGCCUCCUUCCUCCUCUCGCACCCGCGCCUCCCUCUCCUCUUCCUCUCGCCCCUCGCGCCGCCACUACUGCCUCCUUCCCCGCCGCCGCUCGGCCUCCUACCCUCAUGUCCUCCUCCUUCCACCCCCUCCGAUCUGGCGCCACCCAAACCCCAACCCCCCGCCCUGGCUCCGGCUCCCGCCGGAGGGUAGGAGGAAUGGCGAGGCGAGGCAAAGGCGGCGGCGUAUGGGACGUGGCGUGGGGAGGUGUGGCCCAGGGGGUCGGCGCAGCCACGGCUUCUCGUCGUCUCCGCCGUCACCUGGGCGCUGCCAUGGGAGAGCUCGAGCUCGAAGGGGGAGCAGCGGGGAGAGGAACGUGAGGCCAUGGGGGAGGAAGAAGAUGGCCCCCCUCGUUCCCAAGGUUGGUCUUCGCGUGACGCUGGUUAAGGUUGGUCUGCUGUCAGCAGGUGCUCAUGUUUCUCGUCGGUUCGUCCUGCUGCCUCUUCGGUCAUCGCUCUACAGGUCAACCCAUUUUCUCCUUGACCUCUCAGCUCUCCAGGCCUGCGCUUGCGUUAUUGCGGUCGUGUAUCUUCCUUGUGUUCUUAUUGGUAGAAAGCUGGCGUCUAAGAGUGUCAUUCUUUGCUUGUAUUUUUGUGCUUUUGUCACUUAUAUGAAUCUUGGUGGGACCUAAUUUCCUUCUAUACAUUUCUGCCAUGUGAUGCUGAUUUGUUUGUUGGAA